CCUACGGGAGGCAGCAGUGAGGAAUAUUGGUCAAUGGACGCAAGUCUGAACCAGCCAUGCCGCGUGCAGGAAGACGGCUCUAUGAGUUGUAAACUGCUUUUGUACGAGGGUAAACGCAGAUACGAGUAUCUGUCUGCAAGUAUCGUACGAAUAAGGAUCGGCUAACUCCGUGCCAGCAGCCGCGGUAAUACGGAGGAUUCAAGCGUUAUCCGGAUUUAUUGGGUUUAAAGGGUGCGUAGGCGGUCGGAUAAGUUAGAGGUGAAAUCCCGAGGCUCAACUUCGGAAUUGCCUCUGAUACUGUUCGGCUAGAGAGUAGUUGCGGUAGGCGGAAUGUAUGGUGUAGCGGUGAAAUGCUUAGAGAUCAUACAGAACACCGAUUGCGAAGGCAGCUUACCAAGCUACUUCUGACGUUGAGGCACGAAAGCGUGGGGAGCAAACAGGAUUAGAUACCCUAGUAGUC
rnacentral:rRNA from 1 species